ensembl:lncRNA
UUUUUUUUUUAAAAAUUAUUUUUGGCUGUGCUGGGUCUUUGUUGCUGCACAUGGGCUUCUCUAGUUGAGCAUGUCGUCACAUGACUGACCUCAGAGCCCUCCCCUGGUCAGUCUAGUGCUGGCGUCUUGGGCAAACCUCGGUCCCUGGCCUUCUGCCUCUCAUCGGGUGUCUUCUGGAGCCUCCUGGACCAGCCACACGAUCUCGCUUCACUUCUCCUUACGUGGUGUCCACAUGUGAAGCUCUCGGUGCAAAUGUGGACAGAUGGCCAGAGGAGCCAGAAUGUCUGAACCUCCUUCUCUACCAGCUGAGGCUCCUGAGGGCUUUGACAAGAACCCCAGGGAAGAGGGGGAGAAAACUCUUCAGGCUGAGCUGCAAGCUUGGCAUCUUCCACUGUCACUCACAUGGAGGCCAGAGGAAAGUACCACUGAUUCUCUUCAUUCAAGAGCCAUGUGUUGGCACCAACGUUGUGCCAGCGGCUGGGCUGGGCACUGGGAGGAACCUGCUAAAGUAGACAUGUUAUGUACCCUGGGGUGUUGGCGGCAGAGGAAGAGACAGUCAGAUGUCUAUUGACUGAGUGUGGGAAAGAGGGAGACUUGGGGGUGGCAGCGGGGGAACAAUGAGUGGAGCCCGCACUCUGCCAGCCAGCAAGCCAGGGGAGCUGUCCCCAAGGUGAUCAUGCCUCCGCGGAGCCUUGGAGGAUGAUCCGAGUUAGUCAGGAGAAGAGAAAGGGGUGGGGUGGGGACAGAGGCAGGGCCUUCCAGGCAGAGGUUAUAGUGCACGUAAGGACUUAGAGGUCUGACGUUGCUGGAUGAAAGCAGAGAACAGAAGCGCGUCAUCAUUCCUACAGGCAGUGUAAUAGGAGAUGAGCCAGUGGGAUUGCAUCACAGGACCUGCAAGGCCACAUCAGGGCCUUGGGGCUUUGUUCAACCUCUGCCUCCUGACCUGAAAGACCAUAGGAAAGAGGAGGGCCUUGCAGGAAAACAGUGCGACCGGGCGGAUUCACACUCCCUGAUUUUAAGAAUCACUAUUAAGCUAGAGUAAUCAAG